GCCAGGUGUGGUGGUGCACACCUGUAGUCCCAGUUACUUGGGAGGCUAAGGCAGGGGGAUCACUUGAGCCCAGGAACUUGAGGCUGCAGUGAGCUAUGACUGCGCCACUGCACUCCAGCCUGGGCAACAGAGUGAGACCCUAUCUCAA
rnacentral:SRP_RNA from 1 species